AAUCCAUAGGUUAAUGAGGCGAACCGGGGGAACUGAAACAUCUAAGUACCCCGAGGAAAAGAAAUCAACCGAGAUUCCCCCAGUAGCGGCGAGCGAACGGGGAGGAGCCCAGAGCCUGAAUCAGCAUGUGUGUUAGUGGAAGCGUCUGGAAAGGCGCGCGAUACAGGGUGACAGCCCCGUACACAAAAGCGCAUGUGCUGUGAGCUCGAUGAGUAGGGCGGGACACGUGGUAUCCUGUCUGAAUAUGGGGGGACCAUCCUCCAAGGCUAAAUACUCCUGACUGACCGAUAGUGAACCAGUACCGUGAGGGAAAGGCGAAAAGAACCCCGGCGAGGGGAGUGAAAAAGAACCUGAAACCGUGUACGUACAAGCAGUGGGAGCACAGGUUUAC
rnacentral:rRNA from 3 species